AUGUUAUCAAGAAAGGCGGAGGGAUUAGACCCUGCGAAGCCUUAGCAACCCUUUAUUCGUAAAGAAGGUGCUAAAUUCUACUUAAACAUUUGUUUUAGAUAGAUAACCA
rnacentral:ncRNA from 1 species